UCCCACAGGCUCGACGCCAGCGCCCGCCACGUGGCCUGGGGGUCCCUGCAGUGGCGCUUACCAGGCACGCCCCUCCGGUCCCCGUGCGCGCCCCGUCUGGGCGGCCGGGACUCGGGUUCGGCCUCAGCGCGCCGCCCCCUCGGGAGAGGCCUCCCAGCCCCCGGGGCAGCCGCCGUGAGGGCCCCUCUGAGGCGGGGACCCUUCCUCCCCGGGAGGGACCCUCCUGGAGCCUAAGGGCCCCCUUUCCCCCCCCCACCAGGGGCCGAGGCGCCCGGCACCUUCUGUGCCUGUGACCCCCGACGCGUAAGGGAUCCGGGCCACAUGGAGCUUCAGGCUCCUUUUGCAAUGAAAAAACAAAACACAAAAAACUUCGAGAGCGAAACUGACCCAGGACGGAGGCUCAGAGCCCGGGACGCUGUCCGCGUUCCAGGCGCACGCGGGGAUCUCCCCCGCGGCCCGGCGGCUCUGAGCACCCGGGCCCGGCCGGGUGAGGACGUGGGUAAGAGCACUGGCCUGAAACUCCGAAAGCUGCAGUGCGGAGCCGUGUUAAUUCCGGUGUGAGCAAGAAGGGGAGCAGGCUCAGUCCGGUUCAAGAUGCUGACAAACUUCAGAACUGAUACUUGAAAGAAGCUGUUGGAGGAGGAGAUAAGGUAUAUUUGAACACGUGACAAUUGAUAUAUACAGAAUAGAGGCUUUCACUUACUGUCCCUUUCAUGGUGGUGAAAAGGUGCCAGAUAUCUAUAAGAACAUAUAUCUGCCCUAAAGAGAAUUUCUGUAGAAUGCAAUUCCAUUUAAACUAUUUAAAGUAGUUUUUCUGCCAACCAGCCCCAGCCUGAAGCUUGACAUAGUAACUAGACUAGCUAUUGUAUCAGUACAACUAUCUUAAGACAACUUUGUCAGCUGCUUUAAUUUACAGAGGUUAUUUUUAAAUCCCAUUGUUUUGACUAUUCUAAACAUUGUAUGCUUCAAAAUAUCCUUUUAAAAACUUGGUUUUUGUGCUUAGAAUUUUUUCUAUAAUAGAUUAUUUCGAUGAUUAAAUGUGACCCCUUUGACAGUGGAUUUCUAAAGAUCAGGGAGGAGUUUGUUGCAUAGGAUUUUAGUGUGGGGAGAGCAGGUUGAAGAACUGUUCUACACUUUGAUUAUGGUGGUGAUUGCAUUUGUCAAAUUUUGGAGUGAGUUUUACUGAAUGUAAAUUCAACUUCAAUAAACAUGACU